rnacentral:lncRNA from 1 species
AUGGAGUCUGCAUGUCUGUGGAACGGUGCUGGGCAAGGGGGAAAACGGAAAGCCUCUGCAGAGAGAGGUGCUGAACCAAAUGGCAAAAUCUAUGUGAAAACGGUGGAAGAAGUCUGUUCUGGGGGAGCUCGUCUCCAGGUUGGAGGGCUUCCUGGAAGAGCAGGUCCCAGCUCAGGGAGAAGACCUUCCCCUGCAGUCGACAUCUACUCUUUCUCCAAGACUCUGGCUGGAAGGAAGCGCAAGGGCUUGGAAAAAGAGGAACAAAAAGCAGAGCUGUUGCCUGCCAAGAAACAAGUAAAGGGGGGGCGCAGUGGGGAGAAGGCUCAGAGGGUGCAUCAGAGCAGAGGCGGUGUGCCAGCUCCACCAGCGCACCCUGGGCCUGCCCGAACGCCAAGUAAGCAGUUACAGACCUCAAAGCUAAGAGGUAAGAAGAUGCUGUGCUACCUGCCCUGGUGAGCUGCUUCCCUUAUCAAGCAAAUUGAGUUUGCUUAGGGCUUGCUUUGCUUUUUUCCUUCUCUGUAGAGGGGAAAAGAGUUGAAGGCUACCAAGUCCAAAGGCAAGGACAUGCCAGAAUGUGUAGCCUCAUCUUUUCCCAUUAACUACAUGAUGGUCUUCUGCCUGUCCCAGUGGAAAUGUUGUUCCCUGAGGGGCUUCCUAGCUGAUUUUCCUUUGUCUUUUUUCUGCCAUCUGUUUUUAUGGUACCCAUGUUUCUGCGGUUUUGCUGUUGACAAAAUGAAUUUAUCUUUUUUCUUGCUUCAUAGCAAGAAGAAGACGACAACAAAAAGAGAGGAGAGCAGAAAUGAAGAAGGCUUCUCUCAGAGCUGCUGCUGCAUGUGCAGAGGUGAGUCCUUGGUGAACACAGGCAUGCGCUCUUGUUGUCCUCAGGGCCUCAGUCUGUCAGACAUGAAUGAGAUUGUAAAGUCUCGAGGGAAGCGGUGUCCUAUUUUUACACUUCCUUUGUUUCUUUCUAGUCCUCCACAGUGAACAGCCUUGUGGAGAUGAUGCAGAAGCUGCAGCUGAAAGACUGAGUGGAGGAGCAGCAGAAGGCAGUGGCUGCUGUGCACAGCACUACAGUGCUCUGAGUGCCGCCCAACUCGGCACUCUAAGUCUGGUUGCAUUCAAUAAAUGAUCACAAUUACGGACUCA